rnacentral:miRNA from 1 species
UGAGAUCAUGCCACAUCUGUCU